AUGGCACUUGCUCCGCGCUCGGCUCUGCCUCUGCGCUCCCUGGUGUGGCUAAGGAUCAUGUCGCACAGCAAGCCAUAUCUGAUCUCUUUCUCCUCCUCGUCCUCCUCCGACGAUGCCAUUCUGCUGGCAGCUCGAGGAACUGCCACUCCAGUUGCUCGUGCCGUUCAGCCUCCAACCGCUCCAGGUAGUUCGAGUUGUGGCGGGUCCGUUACUCCGGAGCAAAAAGUUCUUCACCCACUUCCAUCUAGCACACCUAAAUUUCCAAUCCACAAGCCUUCUCGUCCCGCCCUCCAAUAUCCUGACCAGCCAUGCAACAUACUUCAGCCUCUGAAAGACAAACCUUUGCCGGCAAAACAUGGUGAUCACAAAGUUCCCCAAAGCCCCAAGUUUAGCCACUUCCCGAACCAGUCGAUUGCUGAGCCUGUUGGCAAGUCUUUGACGCCCCUGGAAGAUCCUAGACACUCUGUCCCUGGUGAUUCAUGUAUCACACUUCAACCUGUAACUCACAAGUAUUCACCGAAAGCACGUCCUAAUCACAAAGUUCGUGAAGAUCCUGAUAUUCGAGAUCGCCGAAUUCCCAAGGACAGGUCACUCCACGAGCCACCGCACCCAACUCCUGCCCCUUUCAUCAACGAGCAUGCUUACAAGUCUCCGCCGAAACCAUAUCCUGAUCACAAAGUUUGUGAAAAUCUUGAUAUUCGAGUUCGCCAAAUUCCCAAGGAUGGCUCUUUCCGCGAGCCGCCACACCCAAGUCCUGACCCUUUCGUCAACGAGCAUGCUUACAAGUCUUCACCGAAACCACAUCAUGAUCACAAAGUUUGCGAAGAUCCUCCUAUUCGAGUUAGCUCUAUCCGCCCGCCGCCGCACCCAACUCCUGACCCUUAG
rnacentral:rRNA from 1 species